rnacentral:rRNA from 1 species
AAACGCUGGCGGCGUGUCUUAAGCAUGCAAGUCNAGCGGCAGGCGCAGCAAUGCGCUGAGAGCGGCGGACUGGUGAGUAACGCGUGGGUAAUCUACCUUUGGCAUGGGGAUAGCCACUAGAAAUAGUGGGUAAUACCAAAUACGUUCCCUGGGGGGAGGUUUCAGGGAAGAAAGGGUGCUACGGCACCGGCCAAAGAUGAGCUCGCGUCCCAUUAGCUAGUUGGUGAGGUAACGGCCCACCAAGGCGAUGAUGGGUAGCCGGCCUGAGAGGGUGUACGGCCACACUGGGACUGAGAUACGGCCCAGACUCCUACGGGAGGCAGCAGCUAAGAAUAUUCCGCAAUGGACGAAAGUCUGACGGAGCGACGCCGCGUGGAUGAUGAAGGCCGAAAGGUUGUAAAGUCCUUUUGCUGGGGAAGAAUAAGUGUGGGAGGGAAUGCCCGCAUGAUGACAUGAACCGGCGAAUAAGCCCCGGCCAACUACGUGCCAGCAGCCGCGGUAACACGUAGGGGGCGAGCGUUGUUCGGAAUUACUGGGCGUAAAGGGCAUGUAGGCGGUCUGGUAAGCCUGGCGUGAAAGGCCACAGCUCAACUGUGGGAUUGCGUUGGGAACUGCUGGGCUUGAGUUAUGGAGAGGGAGCUAG